GAUGAACGCUGGCGGCGUGCCUAAUACAUGCAAGUCGAGCGAACGGACGAGAAGCUUGCUUUUCUGAUGUUAGCGGCGGACGGGUGAGUAACACGUGGAUAACCUACCUAUAAGACUGGGAUAACUUCGGGAAACCGGAGCUAAUACCGGAUAAUAUUUUGAACCGCAUGGUUCAAAAGUGAAAGACGGUCUUGCUGUCACUUAUAGAUGGAUCCGCGCUGCAUUAGCUAGUUGGUAAGGUAACGGCUUACCAAGGCAACGAUGCAUAGCCGACCUGAGAGGGUGAUCGGCCACACUGGAACUGAGACACGGUCCAGACUCCUACGGGAGGCAGCAGUAGAGAAUCUUCCGCAAUGGGCGAAAGCCUGACGGAGCAACGCCGCGUGAGUGAUGAAGGUCUUCGGAUCGUAAAACUCUGUUAUUAGGGAAGAACAUAUGUGUAAGUAACUGUGCACAUCUUGACGGUACCUAAUCAGAAAGCCACGGCUAACUACGUG
rnacentral:rRNA from 1 species